rnacentral:rRNA from 1 species
UACGUAGGGUGCGAGCGUUGUCCGGAAUUAUUGGGCGUAAAGAGCUCGUAGGCGGCUUGUCGCGUCGACUGUGAAAACCCGCGGCUCAACCGUGUGGCUUGCAGUUGAUACGGGCAGGCUAGAGUUCGGUAGGGGAGACUGGAAUUCCUGGUGUAGCGGUGAAAUGCGCAGAUAUCAGGAGGAACACCGAUGGCGAAGGCAGGUCUCUGGGCCACUACUGACGCUGAGAAGCGAAAGCAUGGGGAGCGAACAGG